rnacentral:rRNA from 1 species
GAUGAACGCUCGCUACAGGCUUAACACAUGCAAGUCGAGGGGAAACGACAUCGAAAGCUUGCUUUUGAUGGGCGUCGACCGGCGCACGGGUGAGUAACGCGUAUCCAACCUGCCCACCACUUGGGGAUAACCUUGCGAAAGUAAGACUAAUACCCAAUGACGUCUCUAGAAGACAUCUGAAAGAGAUUAAAGAUUUAUCGGUGAUGGAUGGGGAUGCGUCUGAUUAGCUUGUUGGCGGGGUAACGGCCCACCAAGGCGACGAUCAGUAGGGGUUCUGAGAGGAAGGUCCCCCACAUUGGAACUGAGACACGGUCCAAACUCCUACGGGAGGCAGCAGUGAGGAAUAUUGGUCAAUGGACGAGAGUCUGAACCAGCCAAGUAGCGUGCAGGAUGACGGCCCUAUGGGUUGUAAACUGCUUUUAUAUGGGAAUAAAGUGAGUCUCGUGAGACUUUUUGCAUGUACCUUAUGAAUAAGGACCGGCUAAUUCCGUG